rnacentral:rRNA from 1 species
CCUACGGGUGGCUGCAGUGAGGAAUAUUGGUCAAUGGCCGAAAGCCUGAACCAGCCAAGUCGCGUGAGGGACGACUGCCCUAUGGGUUGUAAACCUCUUUUGUAUGGGAGGAAUAAGUUCUACGUGUAGCAUGAUGCCUGUACCUUAUGAAUAAGCAUCGGCUAACUCCGUGCCAGCAGCCGCGGUAAUACGGAGGAUGCGAGCGUUAUCCGGAUUUAUUGGGUUUAAAGGGUGCGUAGGCGGCUUUUUAAGUUAGUGGUUAAAUGUCGGGGCUUCACCUCGCUACGCCAUUAAUACUGUAAGACUAGAGAUCAGACGAGGUAGGCGGAAUAAGUUAAGUAGCGGUGAAAUGCUUAGAUAUAACUUAGAACACCGAUAGCGAAGGCAGCUUACCAGACUGAGACUGACGCUGAUGCACGAGAGCGUGGGUAGCGAACAGGAUUAGAUACCCGAGUAGUC